GGUUUUUAGAUUUUAUUAAAAAUCAAGCCUGCUCAAUGCUUAGUAAAUAGCCGCAGAAUUUUAACUGUGCAAAGGUAGCAUAAUCACUUGUCUUUUAAUUGAGGACUAGAAUGAAAGGUUUAACUAUGUAAUUUUGUCUUAUAGUAAUAUUUCGAAUUUUAUUUUUUAGUAAAAAAGCUAAAAUAUAUCUUAAAGACGAGAAGACCCUAUUAAGCUUUACAAUUUUAUGUUAUUUUCAAACUAAUAAAAAAAUUGUUUUGCUGGGGCAGCAAAUAAAAAAAAAUAUUAUUUUAAUAUUGUGAUAAAUAAAUCUAGAAAAAUCAAUAAUUUAUUAAAAAAUAACAAGUUACUAUAGGGAUAACAGCAUAAUUUUUUUAAAGAGUUCUCAUCAACAAAAAAGUUUGUGACCUCGAUGUUGGAUUAAGAGUCCUAUUUUACGCAAUAGUAAAAAAAGGAAGUCUGUUCGACUUUUAAAUUCUUCCA
rnacentral:rRNA from 1 species